rnacentral:misc_RNA from 1 species
UCUCCGUUGGUGAACCAGCGGAGGGAUCAUUACCGAGUUUACAAACUCCCAAACCCUUUGUGAACCUUACCAUAUUGUUGCUUCGGCGGGACCGCCCCGGCGCCUUCGGGCCCGGAACCAGGCGCCCGCCGGAGGUCUUAAACCCUGAAUUCUAGUGUAUCUCUGAGGAUGAAAAAAAACCAAUUAAAACUUUCAACAACGGAUCUCUUGGCUCUG